AGCCGUAGAUGGUGAUGACGACAAACUACUCUCUGUUACCACUGGUUCCACAACAGGAUUCACACAAGGGCGUAAGUCAGCUCUGUGGACUCUCUUACUGGGACCACCCUCCAGAGGCUCAACCGUAUACGUGGUGCCCUGUACCUGUAUGACCCGAUACACAGUAGGAGCCCAAGCAUCCUGUAUCUUGUUUCUCCCAGCAGGUCGGUGACGUAAAUACACCGUCUGACCAACACCAACGCUUGUUCCUGGCCUAGAAGAGCAUCGACAGGAAGACGUGGUUCCACGCCGAACAGCAAGAAAUAGGGACACACAAAACAGUCCUCUAGUUAACAGCACACUUCUGAGCUUCGGCCACAGAUGGCGAUGUCCCCUCCUCGUCCAGCGAUCCAGUCCCUUGGCCACGAACCCUCAGCCGACGUCGUCACUCUGGACACUCAAAGCACGGUUGACCGCCUCCACUCCGGGUCCCUGCAGUUCACGUACACACCACUACCGUAUUCCAGAGAGAAAAAAAACGCACUAAACGCCUAAGAGCUCCCAACUGUCAGAUACCCCACUCCUGGUACCAAAAAUGUAACCGGGUGGAAGAAAAGACACACACACCGGAAGCAAAAUUAUGCUUUUCAAAAUGUGGGGUUUGUUUAAUCUGACUGCUGUUCAAAAAAAAUGACAGCGGUCGAUGGGAGCAAAACUUGAAUAAGCACACUUACAGAAGUAGAUUUUGGAUAGUUGAAGAUUUCACUAAUUACACCAUACAAAAAGAAAAAAAACUCUUAUCCAUAGUUUAAGCAAUCAAAAUCAGAGAAAUGACAAUCAAUUGUUGCAAAGAUAAGUUACGACAAUAAUUAGUGUCACUUCCAAUCGACUAGAUGUAAUUCAGAUGACUAUAUGCCACCACUGAAGUACAGUAAGAUGCAAGGUAAAAGACUAACAAAAAAACGCACCGGAGUCCACCGGAAAUAACCAAAUUACUUGAAAAAAAACAAAACAAAUGUUAAUACAGACUGGAAUACGGCAGUGGCUGAGGCACAGAAGAAAAAUAAAAGCACAUUAGCAAAGCCACACUCCCUUUGUUUCACAUAUUAACCAUGAACCAUAAGAAAAAUAAACCAGAAUCAAUCACAAAAUAGCUUUUAACACAUCUACAGCAGGUAAUAUAUAUAUAUAUAUAUAUAUAUAUAUAUA